GUGAAGUAGCCCUAGCUCUUCUGCUCAAGGAUUACAUCCAAACGUCUUCCUGCUACAUGUAUUCUGAGACAUUCCUCCACUGAAGAAAGGGGCCUUGGCCUUUUCCUAUCUGACCAAAGUCUUCAUAGCCCAAAGAUAACUGUCAGAAUAAAAUCCAACCUGUUGGAAUAAUGGAAGAAUUGCUGCCUGGACUUUCGAACAGCACACACAAUACAUGGACAUUCUCAAUACUGAAGAAGAAUAGGAAGCUGAUCAAACAAUACUGGAACUUCCUCUGCUCCACAAGAGAUGUCCUGUCCUACAUGCAGAGGAAUGUGUAGAUGGACAUAUAUUUGAAGAAGACACUGAACCUAAGACUACUACUGCAUUAUAGCCUCUUAGAAGACUUCUAAGACUGCUACCAUGCCUACCACGGACAUUCAGAAGAUGUGUAUUCUUGACUGUGAUUUCAAGUUUGGAGUUGAUGAUGUAGUGAGUGGCUGGAAUAUUCUAUAAUUUUCAAGGUACCAAUCA
rnacentral:lncRNA from 1 species